rnacentral:rRNA from 1 species
UGAGCGAUUUACUUCGGUAAAGAGCGGCGGACGGGUGAGUAACGCGUGGGUAACCUACCCUGUACACAUGGAUAACAUACCGAAAGGUAUGCUAAUACGGGAUAAUAUAUUUGAGAGGCAUCUCUUAAAUAUCAAAGGUGAGCCAGUACAGGAUGGACCCGCGUCUGAUUAGCUAGUUGGUAAGGUAACGGCUUACCAAGGCGACGAUCAGUAGCCGACCUGAGAGGGUGAUCGGCCACAUUGGAACUGAGACACGGUCCAAACUCCUACGGGAGGCAGCAGUGGGGAAUAUUGCACAAUGGGCGAAAGCCUGAUGCAGCAACGCCGCGUGAGUGAUGAAGGCCUUCGGGUCGUAAAACUCUGUCCUCAAGGAAGAUAAUGACGGUACUUGAGGAGGAAGCCCCGGCUAACUACGUGCCAGCAGCCGCGGUAAUACGUAGGGGGCUAGCGUUAUCCGGAUUUACUGGGCGUAAAGGGUGCGUAGGCGGUCUUUCAAGUCAGGAGUGAAAGGCUACGGCUCAACCGUAGUAAGCUCUUGAAACUGGGAGACUUGAGUGCAGGAGAGGAGAGUGGAAUUCCUAGUGUAGCGGUGAAAUGCGUAGAUAUUAGGAGGAACACCAGUUGCGAAGGCGGCUCUCUGGACUGUAACUGACGCUGAGGCAC